ACGGGUGAGUAACGCGUGGGAAUCUACCUAGUUCUACGGAACAACAGUUGGAAACGACUGCUAAUACCGUAUACGCCCUACGGGGGAAAGAUUUAUCGGAAUUAGAUGAGCCCGCGUAAGAUUAGCUAGUUGGUGAGGUAAUGGCUCACCAAGGCGACGAUCUUUAGCUGGUCUGAGAGGAUGAUCAGCCACACUGGGACUGAGACACGGCCCAGACUCCUACGGGAGGCAGCAGUGGGGAAUAUUGGACAAUGGGCGCAAGCCUGAUCCAGCCAUGCCGCGUGAGUGAUGAAGGCCUUAGGGUUGUAAAGCUCUUUCACCGAUGAAGAUAAUGACGGUAGUCGGAGAAGAAGCCCCGGCUAACUUCGUGCCAGCAGCCGCGGUAAUACGAAGGGGGCUAGCGUUGUUCGGAUUUACUGGGCGUAAAGCGCACGUAGGCGGUUUGUUAAGUCAGAGGUGAAAUCCCGGAGCUCAACUCCGGAACUGCCUUUGAUACUGGCAAGCUAGAGUCCGGAAGAGGUAAGUGGAACUCCUAGUGUAGAGGUGGAAUUCGUAGA
rnacentral:rRNA from 1 species